rnacentral:lncRNA from 1 species
UGAGUUCAAAGGCGAAAGAAGACACUGAAACUCAAGUUAUAUAUAUGACCCGCUGCUGCAUGCUGGAUGUCCCGAGGAAGCCAUACGUGAUCGAAUGAAUGCGGGGCUGGGACGUCGAAUCAGCCGUGAGGAAAAAGCCGCCGCUUUUAGGUCUGACGUUACAGGACAGAGUGGAGGAGCAACUGGGGUUGUUGGACUGUCCAUCUCAGGACUCCUGCGGCAUCAUGGGUAACCACGCUAGCAAAGACGGACAUGGAUCUGCAGGAUCUCCUCUGGACUUCUUCCAAACAGCCCCCACCACGCCCUCCGAGGCAGUGCUCAGUGCCAUGAUCGCCUCCUCCAAGGCCUCGUCGGACUCGGCCACUUACCCAGAGACUGCAGCCUGCACCACCCCCUUCACACCCUUGUCUCCCCUCCUGAACUGGGCACACGGGCUGUCCCCUCCCUCCGACUGGGCCGUGAUCAGCGAGGACAGCAUCGCCGGCACACACACCAAUGCGAGUGGCGGCGUCAGUACUACAGCAGCGCUGAGCCUGGAUCGUCCCAAAGAAGAGUCCGCAUUGUCAGGGUCGCCCUCGGAGCAGAGCUGGCAGGAGCGGGACAGCGGGCUGGAGCCUCAGGCCACAGUGGAGAGGGCCAAUGAGGAGAUGACCCUGGUGCUGCUGAGCCUGAUGGAGCACUAUCAGAGGUCUCUGGGACUGGCACAUAACACAGACCUCACCUCCGGCGCUGUCGAGCUUCUUAGACACUUAAUAGCUGAAAGAGAUGAGCUGAGUCAAGAAGUGCAGAGGCUAAGCGAGACUCUGCGGGAUAAGAAUGGACCCAGAGCUCGCACUGAACAAGACUAUUCACUUUGCCAAAGCGAGCGUGAGGACUGGCAGCAGUUCCAGAGUGACCUGCAGGUGGCGGUGUCUGUAGCCGACAGACUGCGACUGGAGUCUGAGGAGUCUCUAGAGUCUCUGCAGGGCCGAUGUCAGGCUUUGGAGCGACAGCAGGAUCAGGUUUUGACCAGGGAGCAGGCCAAAGACCGAGAACUGCAGGACCUGAGAGAGGAACACAAAGUGGCCUGUCGCAAACUCAUCGAACUCACGCUGCAGAAGCAACAGGCCGCAAGACGUACAAGGCUCAACAGUGAUGAAAUUCAGAGGCUGGAGGUGAAGACAGAGGAGCAAAAAACACAAGCCUUAACGUGUACAAGGGAAAAUUCAACUCUCCAAGAUGAUGAAGUGCUCCAAAAUCCUGACUGUUCAAAUGAAACGGGCAGCGUGGGUUUGACCGGGAAGGGCGUGGCUGAGUGUUACCUUCGCAGUUUAGCCGCCCUGGAGAAGAAGAGGAGAGGACCAGUAUCCUCCGGGAUUCAAGAAGGGUCGUGA